rnacentral:rRNA from 1 species
CAGUAGCCGCGGGAAUACAGAGGGUGCAAGCGUUAAUCGGAAUUACUGGGCGUAAAGCGCGCGUAGGUGGUUCGCCAAGUUGGAUGUGAAAUCCCCGGGCUCAACCUGGGAACUGCAUCCAAAACUGGCGAGCUAGAGUAUGGUAGAGGGUGGUGGAAUUUCCUGUGUAGCGGUGAAAUGCGUAGAUAUAGGAAGGAACAUCAGUGGCGAAGGCGACCACCUGGACUGAUACUGACACUGAGGUGCGAAAGCGUGGGGAGCAAACAGGAUUAGAUACCCCAGUAGUCCCUGUCUCUUAUAA